rnacentral:rRNA from 1 species
AUAACAAUACCGGGCUCUAUGAGUCUGGUAAUUGGAAUGAGUACAAUCUAAAUUCCUUAACGAGGAUCCAUUGGAGGGAAAGUCUGGUGCUAGCAGUCGCGGUAAUUCCAGCUCCAA